UUGUGGUUAGAAAGCUCGUAGUUGGAUCUCAACAGCCUUGAAGCGGUUAACUUUGUAGUUUUACUGCUUUAUAGGCUGUGCUUUUGCUGGAGGUUUAGGGGUGCUCUUGAUCGAGUGUCUCUGGAUGCCAGCAGGUUUACUUUGAAAAAAUUAGAGUGCUCAAAGCAGGCUAAAAUGCCUGAAUAUUCGUGCAUGGAAUAAUAGAAUAGGAUGUCGAUCCUAUUUUGUUGGUUUUCGGGACUCGACAUAAUGAUAAAUAGGGACAGUCGGGGGCAUUUGUAUUCAAACGACAGAGGUGAAAUUCUUGGACCGUUUGAAGACAAACUACUGCGA
rnacentral:rRNA from 1 species